rnacentral:lncRNA from 1 species
UCCUCAGCAGGCGCCUCACCAGCCUCCACACCCCUUGCGCCCGCAGAAACGCGCCUGGCCCUGAGCUGUCACCACCGACACUCUCCAGGCUCCGGACACGAUGCAGGCCAUCAAGUGUGUGGUGGUGGGAGAUGGGGCCGUGGGCAAGACCUGCCUUCUCAUCAGCUACACCACCAACGCCUUUCCCGGAGAGUACAUCCCCACCGUGCCUGGGAGGCCCUGCGCUCUAUUGCAGGAUGCGGAGGCAGGGCUGUCAUCGGACGUGGAGGGAGCGUGUUGGUGUCAGACUCAGGAGGGAAGGAUGACUGGGGAGGCACCAGCCCCUCCCUGGCCAGCCCUCAGGGGUCCCCAUCACUCCUAGGACAUUUCCCCGACUCCCUAGCAUGGCACUCAAGGCUCCUGAUGGCCUUCACUCAACCUCCCACCUGGCCUUAUUACCCAUUACUUUGCUUCACACUCUGCCUCCUCCGGACCCUACUGUUCGCCACAAGCUCCCUGCACAUUUCUACCCCAGGGCCUUUGCUCAAGCUGUUCUCUCUCCCCAUAGUGCUUUUUCUCCCCACAUCCAC